AUCCUGCCUUAGUGCUUAAAAUCUACUGGGACCAUGCUGUGAAGGAGACUGGGAGCACAGCUGGAGAAAGGACAGGCUCAUGGUUCAGCUUGUGGACUGCUGCCCUGGAGAACUGUCUGUGCUUCAGAGUUCCUGGGUGGUCAUGGAAAUCCAGCUUCUUCCAGGCAGUCAUUAAUUGUGUUUUCUCCAUUUUCUGGGUGCACCAUUUAAAAAUUCUGACUCUGAUUUAUCGGUCCAUGCUUGGUGUCCUGUUUUGAUACAGUCUUAGGGCUUUAAUUUUACCACCACCACCCAGACUUCCCAGACCUUGUGGCACUGGUUCUCUUAGACUGGGAAAUAAAACCAAAGUUCUUGUGUGCUGUACUCAGCGCUGACUGUCAUAUGUCACUCUUCUCCCGCUUCUCAUCUGACCCUGCCCUGUGCACUUUGUCAGCUUCCAUCCACCUGGACUUUCCUUACUCUGGUUCUAUGUGUAUGGAACCUCACAGUCAUGAACGUGAUUCCCAGAUCCUCUCUUUUUUUUUUUUUUUUUUUUUCCCCCAAAGACAAUUCUUCUGACUAUUUUGUCAAGUUCAGGUUUCUCCACAACCACCUCAUCCUCAGAGGUACAUGCAUUCAGUGCACUUAAUUACACCAAUAAUUAAUUACCUCAGGGAAAAAUCAGCAAGACACACAAGAACCAAGAGCACACAGGACACCAGGAACUACUCCAGUGGCUCACAUAAUCAUCACAGGAAUGUGGAGGAUGACCUCAGGAGAUCAUCUAGUUCAACCCCCUCUUAUUCAAGAGCUGGCUGUCCUGGGGAGACCUGUACCCAUGCAGUUAUAUUCAGCCAGGGUAAAAACAGCUGCAACAGCAAGAGCUGGAUAAGCGUUUCACUGCAGUUAAGGACGGUAAUUUUGUUCUGCAGAGAGCCCUUCCAGCAAGGACAGCAUCCCAGGCAGGCUUCACCAGGCCUAUUGCUGCUUUCUUUGCUUCUUUGGUGAUGCAAACAUCUAUUCUCAACAGCCUUUUCUCCUGUUGGCACCUUGCACCGUGUGCAACGCUUUAAUUCCAAAAACUAUUUCAAUAGGAACUAGCGAAUCCUCUUCCUGCGUUUGUGAGGAGGCACAAUAAACCUCAUCACCCUGGUGCAACAUCCCCCAGCUGUCUGAAGGAGGAAGCAGAGAAAAAUCUCCUUUGUUGGCUGUUGUGCCUGGCUCCCUGUACAAUCCCUAGGUCAUUGUGACGAUUUGGAAAGCCAGCCUGGCUCUUCACCCCUGCACAUGCCUCUUCCACACAUCUACCAAGAUCCAGCUAAAAAGUAGUACUAAUCCUGGGGCUGUAGUUAAGGCUGUCUAUCCCUCCAAGAAUUUAUCAAAAGAGCUGAAGACCUCAGGAAUCAGGCUGGCUUUAACUCUUUUUACUUUGAAAGUCUCAACAGCCAGUUUGGAAGUUGAUUGGGGAAGUAGGGAAAUUGCAAGCAUGGGACAUUCAUGGGGCCUUCCACCAAAACUGUGGCACAGAGAGAGCAAAGGGAUGUCAGUCUUGGGCUGCUUGACUGAAUCUAAUGUGAGUGACAUGAUACAGACAAAAGAGACCAAAAUUUUUUCUAGAUUUGAACCCUUUCAGAUUCCUGAGGACAUGGGCAUAGGUGUUGCUUUCCAGAACACAAGAAUCUGGAAGACUUGUCAAAAGCUCAUUAGACUGAUAGAGCUUCUCUGGCUCUGGACACCAUUGUUUUCCAGGGUUAUCUAUAUGAACACAGUGGGGUCAGACAAAUUCUGGGGCAAAGGCAACUGUCCAUCUGAACAAGAUGUUCUCCUGGCAUGAUGGGAAACCUGAUGCUUUUGUCAAGAGCUAGUGGAUAAAACCAGCCUUAAACAUGUGCAGAACAUGAGCAGGGAGAACUUAAUUCCACAGAAGGAUGCAUCUGCCUGCCUACUGAGUCACUGAUGUUUUCCACAUGUUGCAAUAUUGCCAUGAACCUGUAUUUGGUGUCUGCUCAUUCACCUCCACUACAAAUUUGGGACACAGAAGUUGUCUGUAGCUUCUGUUACAUUGAACUGUUUGGACCACUUGGCUUUAUUGGUUCCAGCAAACUUACCUGGAGUUUUGCAAGGACUAGGAGCACCCAUGCACAUCCAGAUCAGCAAAACAUCAGCUGAGGCAAUUCUUCUGAGGCAAUUGUUAAUGAUGACAUAUUUUGUGACAGGAAGUGAUUGCAAAAUAGUGGGUUCUCAGGAUUAAAAACUUGUGUCCUGCUCAGAAACAUGAAUGCAACUGGUAUGUUCUAAACAUAGAUUCCUUCGGAUUUUGUUCUGGGACAAAAAUCAAAACCACUUUUCAGGAUUUAUUGUUUAAUCAUUAACGCCUGGGCAAUUGGUAAAUUUGUUACUGUUACAAUCUCUGAUUUUCCACUGAGGGAAAAAAAAAAAAAAAAGCAAAGUUAAAGUUCAACCAUAACUAUUGAGUUUGCCCAUGCCAAUCAAACAAGAGACAAGCCAUUACAAUGUCUCACAAAAUUGUUCUCUGGAUAACUGCCUUGGCAAUAUUAAGGAGUUAGAUACAAGGCUGGUAGAUCCAUUAACAUAAUUUAGAUUCUCUAGCAUAGCAAGGUUCAAAAGAGCCUUGAAUGAUUGCAUCCUUAUCAGACUAGCAAGAGGCAGGCCUUUCACCAUGCUUUCCGGUGGAAUGACCCAGCAAGAGCUGCAAGGUAAGCAAACAGAAAAUCUUCCUGCUGAUCACCUGAAAAGGAGGCAAUGGAGAAAUUAAAAAGCAAGAGUUCCUGUGCAGGAACAUAUCUAUUGGUUCCUGUUGGAGCAGGCCUAUUCAGUUUCUGAUUAGAAUGACUGAGGCUUAUUGUUGAUAUGUGAAAUGCAAACAGACAAAUGAAAACCCCUAAACACCUCCCCUACUCUUCUCCUGAACUCCUUAGAGCUUUGUUCUUCCCAGAAGUUGUACCAAUUUUCCAAUUCACUGCCACCUUAUGGUAUUUCAGAGAGAUAACACCUCAGUAAUUUCUCUCGGACACUUCACGUAUUCAGGCAACCUCCCUGGGCACUUGCACAUUACAGAGACAUGGCAGCUGUAAAACUGCCCUGUGCAUCCAGACUCAGAACAAUAUUGAUGCUUGAGAUGCUGGAUUAUAACAGCUUGUGAAAACUGAGCAUUAAAACGUCAAUUCUAUUUGUAUUUGCAGAUUCUAAAGGGAGGUCAUUUCAUCAGCCAAAGGGCCAAAAAUAAAUAGGGACUUUGCAAUGUUAUUAAAAGAGAAUCUUUCAGUCUGAAACAGCAACUAGUUCACUUGUGACUCUCACAAAUGGUUUUAAUUGU